rnacentral:rRNA from 1 species
GAUGAACGCUGGCGGCGUGCCUAAUACAUGCAAGUCGAGCGAAUGGAUUAAGAGCUUGCUCUUAUGAAGUUAGCGGCGGACGGGUGAGUAACACGUGGGUAACCUGCCCAUAAGACUGGGAUAACUCCGGGAAACCGGGGCUAAUACCGGAUAACAUUUUGAACCGCAUGGUUCGAAAUUGAAAGGCGGCUUCGGCUGUCACUUAUGGAUGGACCCGCGUCGCAUUAGCUAGUUGGUGAGGUAACGGCUCACCAAGGCAACGAUGCGUAGCCGACCUGAGAGGGUGAUCGGCCACACUGGACUGAGACACGGCCCAGACUCCUACGGGAGGCAGCAGUAGGGAGUCUUCCGCAAUGUACGAAAGUCUGACGGAGCAACGCCGCGUGAGUGAUGAAGGCUUUCGGGUCGUAAAACUCUGUUGUUAGGGAAGAACAAGUGCUAGUUGAAUAAGCUGGCACCUUGACGGUACCUAACCAGAAAGCCACGGCUAACUACGUGCCAGCAGCCGCCGCAG